CAUGACAACAAUCCAGUCCUUAUCAGGUUAACCGUAAUGAUCUAACUGCCCUGUGUUUGAAACAUGCCUGUCGAAUCGACUUUUAAGUGAAAUGCCAGUUUAUCAAAUGAUAAGAAUAUGGAUGAUCUGCUCAGGAGGAAGUUAAGAUGCAAAACAAGAACGAAUUUACGGCCAAAACCAACAGCCUGUAUGUUAUCUGUGAUUCCAACGACUGACAACAUAUAUGCUUGAAUGUACGUUUCGUUGUUCCAUCUGGUCAAGCAAGCAGAAAAAUAAUUAUAAAUUCAAGUCUUUUGAGGGAACAGAGAGCAGGGGAAAUACAACAACAACAACAACAACAACAACAACCACCCCAGUGUAAUCCCACAAGUGGGGAGAGCACGGAAAAUUAAAAGAAAAAGAAAAGGCACACCAGCAUAUAAUACAUGUCAAAUGCUUGAUAGCUUGAAUGUUAUAUUACUGAUCCAAACACCAUAUAUCAAAAAGAUAUUACUGAUCCAACAGCGGGAAAACCGAGUAAACCCUUGAAGUUGGGAAAAAAAUAAGAAACUCAUGAAAUCGCAAACCCUUUGCUUAUCAUGUUAACUAGAAUAGUAAUGCUUUUCAUCUAUCAUACCUAGAAAUGACUAUCCAACUUCAGAUUAUAUACAAGUCCGCUUUUGUUUCAUCUUCCCAGGUCAAAUAAAAAUUAAAAUAUUGAAGAGGCUUUCAAACAUUAUUAUUCAGCUUCUAUAGAAGGCACUUAAUGGAAAAAUCUAGCAAGUUGAUGUGCAGUACUAUGGGUAUUCCAUGAUAUAAGCAAUUGAAAUAUACAACUUUUUUUUUAAAAUUAAAUCCAAUCAACCUCAGGUUUUACCCACCAGUGGUGAUGAGGGAUUUGGCAUUGACCCCAAUCUUGUAUAUUAAGAUCUAAAGUUGAAUACAUGAAGGAGGGGGACAAAAUACCUUACCUCCUCAAAGUCUAAGUGAGAAUUGGACAAGCUUGUUCCUUCCCUCCUCAAAGCAUAAGUGAGAAUCGGACAGUCCCAGUUCUUUACAAAAAGUAAGCUUCCAGAAGUUAGAUUUUGAACUAGUGUAACUAUCUACAUUACGCUUACAUUGAAGUAAUGUGACUGGUGCGCCAUGUAGCAACUCAAGUGUUCAACGUCUUAUAGACCAAUGAAUAUCAAAGAAAAACUAGUGUAUUUUGAAACUAUCGAUGCACUCGACCGAGAAGAUGAGACAAACUUACACCUCAUUUUCCAACAUCUGAAGGCUGAAGUGGAAGAGAU
rnacentral:lncRNA from 1 species